AACGCGAAGAACCUUACCUGGACUUGACAUGUAUUUGACGACUACAGAGAUGUAGUUUUCUCGCAAGAGACAGAUACACAGGUGCUGCAUGGCUGUCGUCAGCUCGUGCCGUGAGGUGUUAGGUUAAGUCCUGCAACGAGCGCAACCCUCAUCCUAUGUUGCCAACGGGUUAUGCCGGGAACUCAUAGGAAACUGUCGAUGAUAAGUCGGAGGAAGGUGGGGAUGACGUCAAAUCAGCAUGGCCCUUACGUCCAGGGCUACACACGUGCUACAAUGGGCGGUACAACGGGAAGCAAGACAGCAAUGUGGAGCAAAUCCCUUAAAACCGUCCUCAGUUCGGAUUGUGGGCUGCAACCUGCCCACAUGAAGUCGGAAUCGCUAGUAACCGCAGAUCAGAACCGCUGCGGUGAAUACGUUCCCGGGCCUUGUACACACCGGAGUGC
rnacentral:rRNA from 1 species